AAUUUUGAGCAGUCGCGGUUUGACUUUUUAAGUCAGGCUGAGGAAAGUCCACGCACACACAAGCUGCGAUGCUUGUAGUGAUCGUAUUUAGCCCAAUAAGCUAAAGGAUUUUAAACAAUUACGGCGAAAAAAAUGCUAAGUUAGUAAUAAUAUGCAUGAAUAUUCUGAAAAGUGCCACAGUGACGAAGCUUGAGUGGAAACACUCUUGGUGGAACGAGGUAAACCCUGCGAGUGUGCAACCCAAAUUUGGUGGGGGCGUCUCAACCAAAAGGAAAUGAACUAAAUGGUUGGAUUGCUUUUUAGCAAAGAUAGAUGGCUGCUGAAGGUAAUUAUGCCAAAAUUACUGGAACAGAACGUGGCUUAUAGAA
rnacentral:RNase_P_RNA from 2 species